rnacentral:rRNA from 1 species
GACGAACGCUGGCGGCGUGCUUAACACAUGCAAGUCGAACGAUGACGACCGAGCUUGCUCGGUCUGAUUAGUGGCGAACGGGCGAGUAACACGUGAGCAACCUGCCCUUCACUCUGGGAUAACCUCGGGAAAUCGGGGCUAAUACCGGAUAUGAGCUCCUGUCGCAUGGCGGGUGUUGGAAAGUUUUUCGGUGAAGGAUGGGCUCGCGGCCUAUCAGUUUGUUGGUGAGGUAGUGGCUCACCAAGGCGAUGACGGGUAGCCGGCCUGAGAGGGCGACCGGCCACACUGGGACUGAGACACGGCCCAGACUCCUACGGGAGGCAGCAGUGGGGAAUAUUGCACAAUGGGCGAAAGCCUGAUGCAGCGACGCCGCGUGAGGGAUGACGGCCUUCGGGUUGUAAACCUCUUUCAGCAGGGAAGAAGCGAAAGUGACGGUACCUGCAGAAGAAGCGCCGGCUAACUACGUG